UUGACGAAACUAGAGACACUAAACUUGUGUAACAAUAACAUAACAACGUUACCAAAUGGAAUCUUUGAUGCAUUGGCGACGCUACAGAAACUAAACUUGGGUAACAAUAACAUAACAACGUUACCAAAUGGAAUAUUUGAUGCAUUGACGAAGCUACAUAAACUUGGAUUAUAUGAAAACCCUCUACGUU